CCCCCUAAUUUCUCUCAACCUCCCUCGACUUUCCAACCCCCUACACCCUAUAUAUUGUCACACACACACACGAAAAUGAAAAACACACGGACAAAGAGAGAGAUAAAAAGAAAAGGAAGAGAAAACUUAAAAACAUAAGGGGAAGAAUGGAGAAAAGCAACAAAAGAAAACAAAAGUGAAAAGAUAAAGGAAAAAGGAAGAAAACACUUACAAAAAACAAAAGAAAACUCAAAGUAAAAAAAAA
rnacentral:lncRNA from 1 species